GGUCAGGAGAGCAGGAAGGAGCUGGACCGCAAGGCACGCGAGGGCGAGACCGUCGUCCCCGGCGGAACCGGCGGCAAGAGCGUCGAGGCCCAGGAGCACCUCGCCGAAGGUAUACGUAAUACUAAUAACCAACUGCCAGCAGUGCCAGCCACUCCAGUUUCCUGUUGUUAUUGGCUUUAUUAAUUGUGCCUCGACGUCGUAUGCAUGCAGGGCGCAGCCGCGGGGGGCAGACUCGCAGGGAGCAGCUGGGGCAUGAGGGGUACAGCGAGAUGGGGAAGAAGGGCGGUCUGAGCAGCACGGAGGAGUCCGGCGGCGAGCGCGCCGCCAGGGAGGGUGUCGACAUCGACGAGUCCAAGUUUAGGACCAACAAGCAGUCCUAGACGCGUGCGUCCCUAUACGCACUACGUACGCAGCGCUCGUAUCUGUCUGUCAGUGUACCUUGUGGCUGUCGUAGCUAGUACUGUCUAUUUGGAGAAGUAGCAGAAUAAUAAUAAUGUAGGGUGCCUCAGCAUGCGUGUAGGCGAUCAUGCAUACGUACAUGUACGUGUGUAUGAUCAUGUGCGUGCUUCGAGAAGGGUUCAGUUAGUUCCUAAUCAUGUCAGUCGUCAAAGUUCAGUUAGCUCCUAUAAUCAUGUCAGUCGUACGUCAGGGGAAGGUUCGCUUCAUCAGGCUUUGUAGUUUGCUAGCCUGUUUGUUUCUAUGCAUGCGCGCGUGUCCGCCUCUCGACAAGUGGCCGGUUGAGCAUGCAUGCAUAGUCCUCUGUUAAGGACGCUUUGUAUCCAUGUUUCCAUGGCUCCUAAAUAAUCAGUAAUGUAAAGCUAGUUUGGCGGUUCCUCGUCAUAUCUGCGGCUGAUUUGCGCUGGUUUCUCUCAAUUGUCUCAAUGUUGUGUUAUCACCACGUCGUCGGCUUUUCUAUCUUGAUAGUACGUACGUACUACUGCGAACACAAAACAGGAUGAAAUCAGCUACUAUUUUAAAUGUUCGAACUUUGAACUCAUGGUCAUUAGUGUAUAACGAGAUGAAAAUUAUCUUUAAGACUGUCAGGUUCACAACAUAUAUACCGAUAUAUGAUCGAAGCGUCAUUUGGCUCAUUUCUACACAUGGACCUUCACCAAUAAAUUCUACUCCCCCGACCAACUAGCAAAGAAGUUUUUGUCGAACUGUUUUUUUUUCAAUAAUGGUGUAUACGGUGGAAAGGGAAAUGAGAACACUAGUAUGGCACUCUUGGCAUUGCUCGUCUUUGACUCAGUAUGGGAGAGGACGACGACGACAGCGUUAGGACAAGAUCGACGAGUUGCGGGAGGCUGCUUAUUAUUAGAGGUGGAGGCGGCGGAACCCUAUCAUGAUAUAGGCUAGCAAACCCUAUCACGCUACAGAACCAAGCACAGCUGCACAGACAGGGUCACAUCCGAAGUAAUUAAUAAUUAUAAAAGGCAUGAAAUAAACACAUUCAAACUGUAGGUAACAAUUUAAUUAUUAUAAUGUAAACUUAAUACCCUUAGAUUUAUAAUUAAAUUUAAAUAAUAUAAAAUAAAUAAAUAAAUAAACAAACAAUAUAAUUUGAAAUACCAUCAAACCAAAUUAUGUCUUAUAAGGCGAUCCAUGAAGUAUUAAAUAUAGACGAAAAUAAAAACUAAUUGCACAGUUUGAUUAGAAUUGAAAGACGAAUUUUUUGAGCAUAGUUAGUCUUUGAUUGGAUAAUAUUUGUGAAAUACAAACAAGUGUUACAGUAUCGGUUUUUUUAAAAAAAUUUGGAACUAAAUAAGACCUAAAUGAUUAUAAAGGAGUCCGGGUACGGUUGACAAGAAGGGGCGGCCCUACGCGAUAAAUUAAAGAUCAUUUCCUUCAGCCUUGGAUGUGAGAAGACUUUGUUUCUGAUAUGAGAAAUGAUUUCUACUAUUUCUCCUCUCUUUUACUUUCAUCCUUAUCUCGGUUGCUACAUUAACAAAAAUGCUUAGGAGCAUAGUAUCUAAUGCCAUGGUUUUAAGUAGUUCAAACUUAAAAAUUAAAAGCUAACUCUCAUCUAAGCUAACUCUCAUCUAAAAUAACUAUUGGAUGUGAGAAGACUUUCACUAGUACAGAGAGAUACUAUACUGGCGGUUCGCAACCCCUUUGUACAGGCGGAUUGACGAACCGCCAGUGGCUAUAGGCCUGUGGGCGGUUAGCUGAGAACCGUCUGUAGAAACCGAUUUCUACAGGCGGUUCAGUUAUGUGAUCCGCCUGUGGAAAUCAAUUUCUACAGGCGGUUCUUUUAUGUAAACCGCCUGUAGAAAUUGGAUUCUACAGCUCAUAACAGAACCGCCUGUGGUAAGAUUUUCCAAUUUAACCCUAUUUUGCAGCAAACCCUAUUUUUAAUAUUACAUAUAUAUUAUAUACAUUAAUAUUGAAACUAUGUUAGGCUACAAGAUUCAACAAAUACAACAUGCAAUAUAUUUAUAUAUACCAUUACUUUGUACAUAAAAUUAUAUUAAUUACAAACAUCACACAUCAAAGUUUAUGAGGUUUCACAUCUGAAACCUCUGCUCUAAUAACCCGAUCGAGAUAGCUUUAGCCAACUAAUAUCUCUUAGUGCUCUAAACUCAGGCUUUGCUAGGACGCUAGUCGGGUCGUGAUAUUUCCCUUCGGUGGGAAUGGCUUCUCUCAAGAGAAAAGUGCAAAGGUCCUCAACUAUGUUGUAUAGAACAACUUGAGUCACGCUCUUCGUCUUUUCCAACUCAUGUUACUGCAGAGGAAGUUAGAAACAUCAUAAAUUUAUAGUUCAUAUAACACAUGCUUAGCAACAAAAAAUGACAUAAUUAUAUAAACGACUAUUAGAGCAAUACCUUAGAAGGGUUAGUUACAUAUCUUCCGGUCUCUCCCAUGAACUCGCAGACGUAGAAUCCACAGUGGACCGAUCCGACUGUUUGCUUAUGGCACUGAUGUAUGACGAAAAAGUUGAUAUUUAUUAGUUGCAACAUCGUCAUAUGCAUAUUAUAUUUAUAAAAGAUAGCUUGUGAUAUUUUGGUACGUACCGGCCAUUUAUAAAAUAAUCUCAAUGGCUGCCCCGGUUCUGAUGAAUCGCACCUUCCACCUUUGAUCUUAUAAUACCUAUAGGCCCUAUAGUAUCGAAUACACAAUCCUCAAGUUAUUCUGAAACUCUUAUAAAAGUAGAUAUGAAUAUUUAAUGUAGUCAGCUUACCGUUCCAAGUGUGUAAUGAAUUUAGCAUAACUUGAAGGAUCAUAGUCUGUAGAGUCUAGGACUAGCACACGUCCUAGAC
rnacentral:lncRNA from 1 species